rfam:Colletotrichum higginsianum, IMI 349063, WGS project CACQ02000000 data, contig: cont1.9446
UACAAGCUCCGGAGGGCGGGAAGGGGGCGAGGUUCAAAAGUCCGGGAUGAGCCCGUUCGUUUGGCCGUUCGUUUGAGGUUGAGAAACUUACCCUCAUCCCCGUUCGCAACAAACUGUGGUAUUUCUGGGCUAUUGCUUCGGCCGUCCGAUGCCGUGGCCAAUGAGUAUCGUCUCCUUUCCCCCGUCUUCGCUAGUUUCCUUCCACACCUUGAGCUUCCGGAACCCCCACUUGCCCAGGAUCUUCUGGCUGGCAACGUGAAGUAAUUCAACCAAGCGCGGGUAAACGGCGGGAGAACUAUGACUCUCUUAAGGUAGCCAAAUGCCUCGUCAUCUAAUUAGUGACGCGCAUGAAUGGAUCAACGAGAUUCCCACUGUCCCUAUCUACUAUCUAGCGAAACCACAGCCAAGGGAACGGGCUUGGCAGAACAGGCRGGGCCACAANAGACUNNGCGAG